rnacentral:rRNA from 1 species
AUUGAACGCUGGCGGCAGGCUUAACACAUGCAAGUCGAGCGGAGCGAGGGUGCUUGCACCUUAGCUUAGCGGCGGACGGGUGAGUAAUGCUUAGGAAUCUGCCUAUUAGUGGGGGACAACAUUCCGAAAGGAAUGCUAAUACCGCAUACGCCCUACGGGGGAAAGCAGGGGAUCUUCGGACCUUGCGCUAAUAGAUGAGCCUAAGUCGGAUUAGCUAGUUGGUGGGGCAAAGGCCUACCAAGGCGACGAUCUGUAGCGGGGCUGAGAGGAUGAUCCGCCACACUGGGACAGGGACACGGCCCAGACUCCUAAGGGAGGCAGCAGUGGGGAAUAUUGGACAAUGGGCGGAAGCCUGCUCCAGCCAUGCCGCGUGUGUGAAGAAGGCCUUUUGGUUGUAAAGAACUUUAAGCGAGGAGGAGGCUCUUAAGGUUAAUACCCUUGAUGAAUGGACGUUACUCGCAGAAUAAGCACCGGCUAACUCUGUGCCAGCCGCCGCGGUAA